rnacentral:rRNA from 1 species
UACGGAGGGUGCAAACGUUGCUCGGAAUCAUUGGGCGUAAAGCGCACGUAGGCGGCUUCUUAAGUCGGGUGUGAAAGCCCUCGGCUCAACCGAGGAAGUGCAUUCGAAACUGAGGGGCUUGAAUACUGGAGAGGAAGGCGGAAUUCUCGGUGUAGAGGUGAAAUUCGUAGAUAUCGAGAGGAACACCGGUGGCGAAGGCGGCCUUCUGGACAGUGACUGACGCUGAGACGCGAAAGCGUGGGGAGCAAACAGG